rnacentral:rRNA from 1 species
UACGAGGGGGGCAAGCGUUGUUCGGAAUUAUUGGGCGUAAAGGGUGCGUAGGCGGUUUGGUAAGUCUUAUGUGAAAUCUACAGGCUCAACUUGUAGUCUGCAUGAGAAACUGCCGGGCUUGAGUAUGGGAGAGGUGAGUGGAAUUCCUGGUGUAGCGGUGAAAUGCGUAGAUAUCAGGAGGAACACCUGUGGCGAAGGCGGCUAUCUGGGCUGCAACUGACGCUGAGGCGCGAAGGCUAGGGUAGCAAACAGG